ACUAUUCACAUUCGACUAAUCUUCAAAACCCUCAACCCACCUGCGAUUUUAACUUCUCCUCUGCCCACCUCUCUCGAAGCCCCCUCUCACUAUCUCUCGUUAAAUUCCUCACAGGUACAUGCGCAUCUCUCUCUCUCUCUUGUUUCCAGUUGUACUCUGAGAACGUCACCGGUCCUCUAAGCCAAGGAUGAAAGAGAACAUUGAGACGCCAACCGCCUAGCCUUUGUCUAGAAUCCAUCUUCGUGGGGUAUCAUGAAUUAAACAAUGUCGAUAUCACUGAUUCCGAUUUGUUCUAUCACAUUAGAGAUGCUCUUACUUUUAUUUCAAAGGGGGAUAGUGACAAGUAUAACCAACUUGUUGCAGUCAUGCACCACAGGGGACAUCUUGCUCCUGAUGAGGUUGCACUGCUCGUGUUUGAAGGCACUGUCUGUUACAGUUUCACAUAUCGAUAAUGUUCUUCAUCACUCUCUUCUUGCUUCUAUAUUCUCAAUGAACACGUGGUCCUGCAGGACUGAUGUGAUGGAUGCUCUAAUUAAUUAAACUAAUCAUUUUAUUGGCUGCUUCAAGUGGGAAAUAUGUUAAUUCGUGUUUAGGGUUGUUGGAAAUUUCACACCCCUUUCUUCAAUGAUAGAGUUUUUGAAAAAACCGCGAGGUAUUUCAAGAAAGAGCCAUGUUCUAUCUCGGGUGCAUUCAUCUUUGGAAGUCAUUGCUGAUUUGGUGCUGAUUUCUCCCAUGAGAUUGCAGCCAAUUGUAAUAUAGAGGAAGCCACACUAUACUUCUAAGGAAGUUGUGAGUUGCCUUGGUACUUUGCAUUUUCUAUUAAUCUUUCUGUACUAUAUAUACAACUCUAUUUGAUGCUUGGUCUUCUGAUUGUUUUA